CCUACGGGUGGCAGCAGUGAGGAAUAUUGGUCAAUGGACGAGAGUCUGAACCAGCCAAGUAGCGUGAAGGAUGACGGCCCUAUGGGGUGUAAACUUCUUUUAUAAAGGAAUAAAACGAGGCACGUGUGCCUUUUUGCAUGUACUUUAUGAAUAAGGAUCGGCUAACUCCGUGCCAGCAGCCGCGGUAAUACGGAGGAUCCGAGCGUUAUCCGGAGUUAUUGGGUUUAAAGGGAGCGUAGGGGGGGUGUUAAGUCAGUGGUUAAAGUUUGCGGCUCAACCGUAAAAUUGCAAUUGAUACUGGCAGUCUUGAUUACAGUUGAGGUAGGCGGACUUCGUGGUGUAGCGGUG
rnacentral:rRNA from 1 species